rnacentral:rRNA from 1 species
AUUGAACGCUGGCGGCAGGCUUAACACAUGCAAGUCGAGCGGAGCGAGGGUGCUUGCACCUUAGCUUAGCGGCGGACGGGUGAGUAAUGCUUAGGAAUCUGCCUAUUAGUGGGGGACAACAUUCCGAAAGGAAUGCUAAUACCGCAUACGUCCUACGGGGGAAAGCAGGGGAUCUUCGGACCUUGCGCUAAUAGACGAGCCUAAGUCGGAUUAGCUAGUUGGUGGGGUAAAGGCCUACCAAGGCGACGAUCUGUAGCGGGUCUGAGAGGAUGAUCCGCCACACUGGGACUGAGACACGGCCCAGACUCCUACGGGAGGCAGCAGUGGGGAAUAUUGGACAAUGGGCGGAAGCCUGAUCCAGCCAUGCCGCGUGUGUGAAGAAGGCCUUUUGGUUGUAAAGCACUUUAAGCGAGGAGGAGGCUACUAGUAUUAAUACUACUGGAUAGUGGACGUUACUCGCAGAAUAAGCACCGGCUAACUCUGUGCCAGCAGCCGCAGUAAAAC